AAGGGCAUGUCAUACUUGUAAAUUAGAUCAACCACACUUAUGCCCCUUUAUGCAAACAUGAAGGUUUCUUGCAUUUUAAGCCAUAAUGAUGAUGGAAAGAGCAUUUCUUGAGGAGAACUUGAUUAGGUCUUGGGUGAUCUUGAGAAAAUCUUGGAGAUUGAGUGAUGUGGCAUGAAAUAAACACAUGGACAACAUUUGAAUAAAAAUGAAGCAAACUUGCAUUU
rnacentral:lncRNA from 1 species